rnacentral:misc_RNA from 1 species
AGGUCUCCUCAAGCUGCUAUAAUACCCAAUUUCCAUCUCCCAAUGCGAAGUUUUGAAGUUAAAAAUAGGACAUCACCUGAGGAUAUAAAAUCGCUUAGAUUGAUAACAGCCAUCAAAACCCCAUAUUUACCUGAUGGUAGAUUUGAUCUUGAAGCAUAUGAUGCCUCGGUCAAUAUGCAAAUUGUUAAUGGUGCUGAAGGUGUGAUUGUUGGCGGCACGACUGGUGAAGGUCAGUUGAUGAGCUGGGAUGAACACAUAAUGCUCAUUGGCCAUACAGUUAACUGUUUUGGUGGUUCUAUCAAGGUGAUCGGAAACACUGGAAGCAACUCUACAAGGGAAGCAAUUCAUGCCACAGAGCAAGGCUUUGCAGUCGGAAUGCAUGCUGCUCUUCACAUCAAUCCAUACUAUGGUAAAACCUCUGUGGAGGGCCUGGUUUCUCACUUCGAUAGUGUGCUACCUAUGGGUCCAACUAUUAUUUACAAUGUGCCUUCACGAACUGGCCAAGAUAUUCCCCCGCGUGUGAUACACAGUGUGGCCCAGAGUCCUAACUUGGCAGGUGUUAAGGAAUGUGUGGGUAAUGAUAGGGUGGAACAGUACACGGAGAAAGGAAUUGUGGUGUGGAGUGGGAAUGAUGAUCAAUGCCAUGAUGCAAGGUGGAACCAUGGGGCUACUGGAGUGAUUUCUGUUACUAGCAACUUAGUCCCAGGCUUAAUGAGAAAACUUAUGUUUGAGGGGAAGGAUCCUGCACUUAAUUCAAAACUAAUGCCUCUCAUAGAUUGGCUUUUCCAGGAGCCAAACCCCAUUGCAUUGAACACUGCUCUUGCACAGCUUGGAGUUGUGAGACCAGUUUUCAGGCUACCAUAUGUACCUCUUCCUCUGCCAAAGAGGGUAGAAUUUGUGAAUUUGGUAAA